UAAGGGAUCUUCCGCAAUGGACGCAAGUCUGACGGAGCGACGCCGCGUGCGCGACGAAGCCCUUCGGGGUGUAAAGCGCUUUUCUCAGGGACGAUACCAGACGGUACCUGAGGAAGAAGCCUCGGCUAACUACGUGCAGCAGCCGCGGUAAUACGUAGGAGGCAAGCGUUGUCCGGAAUUACUGGGCGUAAAGCGCGUGUAGGCGGAUGUCUAAGUCUGUCGUGAAAGCGCCUGGCUUAACCGGGCGAGGUCGAUGGAAACUAGGCGUCUAGAGGCCGGUAGAGGGGGGUGGAAUUCCGGGUGUAGUGGUGAAAUGCGUAGAGAUCCGGAGGAACACCUGUGGCGAAGGCGGCCCCCUGGGCCGGGCCUGACGCUGAGACGCGAAAGCGCGGGGAGCGAACGGGAUUAGAUACCCCGGUAGUCCGCGCAGUAAACGAUGUCCACUAGGUGUGGGGGGUAUCGAGCCCCUCCGUGCCGCAGCCAACGCAGUAAGUGGACCGCCUGGGGAGUACGGCCGCAAGGUUAAAACUCAAAUGAAUUGAC
rnacentral:rRNA from 1 species